rnacentral:lncRNA from 1 species
GUUUUGAAGCCCUGCACAAAAGCUGACAAGUCUUCAAAACGCAGACAAGAUGGAGCUGUGUGCAUGGACACCAGCGGCCAGCCGGUCCUUGCUGGAUUCCCUUCAAAUCUAAAAGGCCGCCAGGCACCCAGGCACCUUAAUCGCUGGGCUUGGAAGGGUGUGUGAAAGCCUGCCUGCCGGGGACUUUUGGACAGGACUGUGCUCGGAUUUGCAAGUGUGCUGGAGUGAACCACGAGUGCCUCCCAGUGACAGGAGCGUGCAUCUGUGCACCGGGUUACCACGGCAGCGACUGCCGACAAAACAACAUAGAUCGCCCUUAAGUACAGGAGCAGGCUUUUUCACGUCAAGCAAAACUGCUCCUCUCAGCCAAAAGUGGAUGCAUGCUGAUGUAUACUAAUGUGGCAGAAGAAAGGCAAUCUUGAUUUCCUCCAUGGUGAGACCUCAGGAGCAGACCAUUGAUUCUGCAAAGUGUCGCCUAGAGAAAAGACCUGGGGACUUCGCCUAAAGCAAGAGUCUUGCAGCAUGAAUUCGCUUCUCAUUAUUCAACAGCGUCUCUCGCCAGCCAAUUCCGUUUUUCUUCCUUUUUUCCCUUUUCUUUUUGUAAAGCCCUGC